UACGAAGGGUGCAACCGUUGCUCGGAAUUAUUGGGCGUAAAGCGCACGUAGGCGGCAUCGCAAGUCCCAUGUGAAAUCCCACGGCUUAACCGUGGAAGUGCAUGGGAAACUGCAGUGCUUGAGUACUUAAGAGGAUCGCGGAAUUCCCGGUGUAGAGGUGAAAUUCGUAGAUAUCGGGAGGAACACCAGUGGCGAAGGCGGCGAUCUGGGAAGAUACUGACGCUGAGGUGCGAAAGCGUGGGGAGCAAACAGG
rnacentral:rRNA from 1 species